CCUACGGGGGGCUGCAGUGGGGAAUAUUGGACAAUGGGGGCAACCCUGAUCCAGCCAUGCCGCGUGUGUGAAGAAGGCCCUCGGGUUGUAAAGCACUUUCAGUGAGGAAGAACGCCUGGUGGUUAAUACCCAUCAGGAAAGACAUCACUCACAGAAGAAGCACCGGCUAACUCCGUGCCAGCAGCCGCGGUAAUACGGAGGGUGCGAGCGUUAAUCGGAAUUACUGGGCGUAAAGCGCGCGUAGGUGGCUUGAUAAGCCGGUUGUGAAAGCCCCGGGCUCAACCUGGGAACGGCAUCCGGAACUGUCAAGCUAGGGUGCAGGAGAGGAAGGUAGAAUUCCCGGUGUAGCGGUGAAAUGCGUAGAGAUCGGGAGGAAUACCAGUGGCGAAGGCGGCCUUCUGGACUGACACUGACACUGAGGUGCGAAAGCGUGGGUAGCAAACAGGAUUAGAUACCCUUGUAGUC
rnacentral:rRNA from 1 species